CGGGGAGCAAGCGUUGUUCGGAUUUACUGGGCGUAAAGGGCGCGUAGGCGGCCACCGCAAGUCGACUGUGAAAUCUCCGGGCUUAACCCGGAAAGGUCAGCCGAUACUGCGGGGCUAGAGUGCAGAAGGGGCAACUGGAAUUCUCGGUGUAGCGGUGAAAUGCGUGGAUAUCGAGAGGAACACCUGCGGCGAAGGCGGGUUGCUGGGCUGACACCGACGCUGAGGCGCGAAAGCUAGGGGAGCGAACGGGAUUAGAUACCCCGGUAGUCCUAGCCUUAAACGAUGAAUGCUUGGUGUCUGGGGUUUUAUAGUCCCCGGGUGCCGUCGCUAACGCUUUAAGCAUUCCGCCUGGGGAGUACGGUCGCAAGACUG
rnacentral:rRNA from 1 species